GUGACUCUUCAAAGUCAUCCUGCCUUGCGGCAAGGAGGCCGGACUGGUGUACCCCUCUCGUCGACCCGCCCCUGGAAGGAGAACUUAGAAUCUUGCAGGCUUCAAGGUGUGAGGGCGUUGGAAGAAACACCAGAGAUGAUCCUGAUCUUUGUGGCAAAGGAAAGCACUCCCAGGCAGGCACUCCCGAUGGAUGGGAACUGGCACACGAGAUUAAACACAUUCCAUGGGGAAAGCUGAGUG